CGGAGGUGCAAGCGUUAUCCGGAUUCACUGGGUUUAAAGGGUGCGUAGGAGGGCAGGUAAGUCAGUGGUGAAAUCUCCAAGCUUAACUUGGAAACUGCCGUUGAUACUAUCUGUCUUGAAUAUUGUGGAGGUGAGCGGAAUAUGUCAUGUAGCGGUGAAAUGCUUAGAUAUGACAUAGAACACCAAUUGCGAAGGCAGCUCGCUACUCAAUUAUUGACUCUGAGGCACGAAAGCGUGGGGAUCAAACAGGAUUAGAUACCCUGGUAGUCCACGCUCUAAACUAUGGAUACUCGACAUACGCGAUAUACAGUGUGUGUCUGAGCGAAAGCAUUAAGUAUCCCACCUGGGAAGUACGACCGCAAGGUUG
rnacentral:rRNA from 1 species